ACACCUUACUGUGUAUAAUCCACUUCUCAACUCAAAGGACUGAGUGAUCACAUCAAUGAAAGCUUGUUGGUGGUGGUGGUGGAGGGGGGGGCGGGUUAUAUUAGCAGGAGCCUCUUUUACUUAGUCUUCUUAGCAUGCUGACAAGGCCACUGCUUACUCUGCUUCCUUUAGCUGGGUUAGUCCAAGUACAAGGAGGUCUCAUUCAUUUGUGAAUGCAUUUAAUUUCUAGGGAAAGCAACUCAUGCAAGUGUGCUCAUUCUUAGCAGUGUGCCUUGGGAAAGUCAACGUUACCUCUCCAUGUCUGACUUUUCUCCUCUGUACAAAUGUACAGAGAAGAAAGAAAAUCAGAAGAUUGAGUCUUACUGUCCUGACAGGUAUCCUGAGAUGUGUUAUCUUAAGGGAACACUUUUCUGGAACAGAAAAGAACUUCCAACUAAUACGGCUACUUCUAAGGUAA